rnacentral:rRNA from 1 species
UACGAAGGGGGCUAGCGUUGCUCGGAAUCACUGGGCGUAAAGCGCACGUAGGCGGAUUCUUAAGUCAGGGGUGAAAUCCUGGAGCUCAACUCCAGAACUGCCUUUGAUACUGGCGAUCUUGAGUCCGGGAGAGGUGAGUGGAACUGCGAGUGUAGAGGUGAAAUUCGUAGAUAUUCGCAAGAACACCAGUGGCGAAGGCGGCUCACUGGCCCGGUACUGACGCUGAGGUGCGAAAGCGUGGGGAGCAAACAGG